rnacentral:lncRNA from 1 species
UCUCGUUGGCUUAGAAGAUGGCAAGUUGAUUGUAGUGGGUGUCGGCAAACCAGCCGAGAUGCGAUCGGGCCAGCUUUCUCGAAAAUUGUGGGGCUCUAGCAAGCGGCUCAGCCAGAUUUCAGCUGGAGAAACGGAAUAUAAUACUCAAGAUUUCAAGUGAUUGUUCCUUCCACCUUCUGUGAUGGAGAACUCAGCUUCACUUACUGUUUUGUCACUUUAGCUGCAUCUCUCCACUCUGAAAGUCUUUAAUGGUUUUAUCUGAAAAAUGGAUUACCACGGUUGAUAUUGGAGGACGUGCCUGUAACACAGAAUGCUUAAGAGGCUGAGGCAGGUGGAUCUUAAGUUCAAGGCCAGCCUGUGCUACAUAGCAAGGCCUUAUCUCAUAGAAGGUUGUUGUCUUAAGUCCAUUUUUAAAGUUUUGUCAACAUGAGUCUAGUUUUAUUAAACAGUACUAAAAUUCAAUUGAGAAAAUACAUUUGAUUUGAUUUAAUAAUUUGAUUAAAUAAUUCCUAAGUUAUUAAAUCCAUUUAAAGAACAGACUUGUAAUAUUUUACUUUUAGGUUGAAUUCCUGUAAUCUAAGUAGCAAAAUUCAAGAUAUUUCUAAUAAAGUAGUUGUAUAGAUAAUA